rnacentral:rRNA from 1 species
AGAGUUUGAUCCUGGCUCAGAUUGAACGCUAGCGGGAUGCCUUACACAUGCAAGUCGAACGGCAGCACGGACUUCGGUCUGGUGGCGAGUGGCGAACGGGUGAGUAAUGUAUCGGAACGUGCCUAGUAGCGGGGGAUAACUACGCGAAAGCGUAGCUAAUACCGCAUACGCCCUACGGGGGAAAGCAGGGGAUCGCAAGACCUUGCACUAUUAGAGCGGCCGAUAUCGGAUUAGCUAGUUGGUGGGGUAACGGCUCACCAAGGCGACGAUCCGUAGCUGGUUUGAGAGGACGACCAGCCACACUGGGACUGAGACACGGCCCAGACUCCUACGGGAGGCAGCAGUGGGGAAUUUUGGACAAUGGGGGAAACCCUGAUCCAGCCAUCCCGCGUGUGCGAUGAAGGCCUUCGGGUUGUAAAGCACUUUUGGCAGGAAAGAAACGUCAUGGGCUAAUACCCCGUGAAACUGACGGUACCUGCAGAAUAAGCACCGGCUAACUACGUGCCAGCAGCCGCGGUAAUACGUAGGGUGCAAGCGUUAAUCGGAAUUACUGGGCGUAAAGCGUGCGCAGGCGGUUCGGAAAGAAAGAUGUGAAAUCCCAGAGCUUAACUUUGGAACUGCAUUUUUAACUACCGAGCUAGAGUGUGUCAGAGGGAGGUGGAAUUCCGCGUGUAGCAGUGAAAUGCGUAGAUAUGCGGAGGAACACCGAUGGCGAAGGCAGCCUCCUGGGAUAACACUGACGCUCAUGCACGAAAGCGUGGGGAGCAAACAGGAUUAGAUACCCCGGUAGUCCACGCCCUAAACGAUGUCAACUAGCUGUUGGGGCCUUCGGGCCUUGGUAGCGCAGCUAACGCGUGAAGUUGACCGCCUGGGGAGUACGGUCGCAAGAUUAAAACUCAAAGGAAUUGACGGGGACCCGCACAAGCGGUGGAUGAUGUGGAUUAAUUCGAUGCAACGCGAAAAACCUUACCUACCCUUGACAUGUCUGGAAUUCCGAAGAGAUUUGGAAGUGCUCGCAAGAGAACCGGAACACAGGUGCUUGCAUGGCUGUCGUCAGCUCGUGUCGUAAGAUGUUGGGUUAAGUCCCGCAACGAGCGCAACCCUUGUCAUUAGUUGCUACGAAAGGGCACUCUAAUGAGACUGCCGGUGACAAACCGGAGGAAGGUGGGGAUGACGUCAAGUCCUCAUGGCCCUUAUGGGUAGGGCUUCACACGUCAUACAAUGGUCGGGACAGAGGGUCGCCAACCCGCGAGGGGGAGCCAAUCCCAGAAACCCGAUCGUAGUCCGGAUCGCAGUCUGCAACUCGACUGCGUGAAGUCGGAAUCGCUAGUAAUCGCGGAUCAGCAUGUCGCGGUGAAUACGUUCCCGGGUCUUGUACACACCGCCCGUCACACCAUGGGAGUGGGUUUUACCAGAAGUAGUUAGCCUAACCGUAAGGGGGGCGAUUACCACGGUAGGAUUCAUGACUGGGGUGAAGUCGUAACAAGGUAACC